rnacentral:lncRNA from 1 species
AAUAAGACAAAGGCUCCGUCGGAUAUCUCAUAUCUGAACCUCUACUCAUCGCAAUGCCUACCAUAUGUGUGUGACCCUCUAGGCCCAAUAUCGAGCUGGCCGUGAGUCAUACCUGUCAGAACUCCUUCUAACUCAGUGAAUUAUUAUCUAUAUAAUAAUUCACUCGACUCAUCGACUACAAACGUACUAGGCUACUACGCCGUAGUCCCCAGACGAUACAGGGGAAUCCAAUCCAUUGGACCUGUUUGUCCUCAGUUACCGUGUACCUAUAGUCCC